CAAUAGCGUAUAUUAAAGUUGUUGCAGUUAAAAAGCUCGUAGUUGGAUUUCUGGUGAGAGCGAUCGGUCUGGCGCUUAGCGCGAGUACUUGCAUCGUCUCCGGCCAUCCUUGGGGAGAGUCUGUCUGGCAUUAAGUUGUCGGGCAGAGGAUCCUCAUCGUUUACUGUGAAAAAAUUAGAGUGUUCAAAGCAGGCUUAUGCCGUUGAAUAUAUUAGCAUGGAAUAAUAAGAUAGGACUUUGGUACUAUUUUGUUGGUUUGCGCACCAAAGUAAUGAUUAAUAGGGACAGUUGGGGGUAUUCGUAUUCCGUUGUCAGAGGUGAAAUUCUUGGAUUUACGGAAGACGAACUACUGCGAAAGCAUUUACCAAGGAUGUUUUCAUUAA
rnacentral:rRNA from 1 species